rnacentral:rRNA from 1 species
UAGGGAAUCUUCGGCAAUGGACGAAAGUCUGACCGAGCAACGCCGCGUGAGUGAAGAAGGUUUUCGGAUCGUAAAACUCUGUUGUUAGAGAAGAACAAGGACGUUAGUAACUGAACGUCCCCUGACGGUAUCUAACCAGAAAGCCACGGCUAACUACGUGCCAGCAGCCGCGGUAAUACGUAGGUGGCAAGCGUUGUCCGGAUUUAUUGGGCGUAAAGCGAGCGCAGGCGGUUUCUUAAGUCUGAUGUGAAAGCCCCCGGCUCAACCGGGGAGGGUCAUUGGAAACUGGGAGACUUGAGUGCAGAAGAGGAGAGUGGAAUUCCAUGUGUAGCGGUGAAAUGCGUAGAUAUAUGGAGGAACACCAGUGGCGAAGGCGGCUCUCUGGUCUGUAACUGACGCUGAGGCUCGAAAGCGUGGGCAGCAAACAGG